rnacentral:rRNA from 1 species
CGGUAAUUCCAGCUCCAAUAGCGUAUACUAAAGUUGUUGCAGUUAAAAAGCUCGUAGUUGGAUUUCUGCGGGGACGGAGCGGCCGGACGCAACUUGCGUCUCGAGCUAGCGCUUUCCCCGCAUCCUGCCGCGAACCGUGCUACCAUUAGUUUGGUGGCGCUGGGGAUCGGCUCGAUUACUUUGAGAAAAAUAGAGUGUUCAAAGCAGGCCACACGCCUUGAAUAAGUUAGCAUGGAAUAAUGACUAAGGACUUUGGUUCUUUUCGUUGGUGUUCGGGACUGAAGUAAUGAUUGAUAGGGACAGUUGGGGCGGUCCGUAUUCCAAAGCGAGAGGUGAAAUUCUUAGACCUUCGGAAGACGAACAGCUGCGAAAGCGUUCCGCAAGGAUGUUCCCUUUGAUCAAGAACGAAAGUUGGGGGAUCGAAGACGAUCAGAUACCGUCGUAGUCUCAACUAUAAACUAUACCAGCUAGGGAUCGGCCAACGUUUAAUUAUUCGACUUGGUCGGCACCUUAUGAGAAAUCAAAGCAUCUGGGUUCCGGGGGGAGUAUGGUCGCAAGGCUGAAACUUAAAGGAAUUGACGGAAGGGCACCACCAGGCGUGGAGCCUGUGGCUUAAUUUGACUCAACACGGGAAAACUUACCAGGUCCAGACAUAGGAAGGAUUGACAGAUUGAUAGCUCUUUCUUGAUUCUGUGGGUGGUGGUGCAUGGCCGUUUUUAGUCGGUGAAGUGAUUUGUCUGCUUAAUUGCGUUAACGGACGAGACCCCAGCCUGCUAAAUAGCGCGGCCGAGCUUUGCUCGGUACGAGCUUCUUAGAGGGACCAUGAUGCGCGAUAGCACAAGGAAGUUUGGGGCAACAACAGGUCUGUGAUGCCCUUAGAUGUUCUGGGCCGCACACGGGCUACACUGGCGCCUGCAACGAGCAUAUCAGCUGGCCCGAGAAGGUCUUAACUAAUCUUUGGAACCGGCGCCGUGCUUGGGAUUGACCAUUGCAAUUGUUGGUCAUGCAACGAGGAAUGCCUUGUAAACGCGAGUCAUCAGCUCGCAUUGAAUACGUCCCUGCCCUUUGUACACACCGCCC